rnacentral:lncRNA from 1 species
AUGGCUGAUGAAGAGUUCUAAUGCUUGUGGACUAUGAGUCCUACAUAUCUGAAACUCUAUGAUCGAGAAUCAGGAUUCUCUGAUUAUGAGUUUCACACAUUUUGGGUACCGGGGUCAAGAGUCCCACUGGUUUGGGACUCUUCGAUCAAGAUUUCAUAUCGAUGGACUUUGAUACCCGAUUGCCCAUCAGAUUUGGACUCAAUAUUUAUGAAAG